rnacentral:rRNA from 1 species
CGAAAGCCUGACGGAGCAAUACCGCGUGAGGGAGGAAGGCUCUUGGGUCGUAAACCUCAAAACUUAGGGAAGAAGAAAGUGACGGUACCUAAUAUAAGCAUCGGCUAACUCCGUGCCAGCAGCCGCGGUAAUACGGAGGAUGCGAGCGUUAUCCGGAAUCAUUGGGCGUAAAGAGUCUGUAGGUGGCACUUCAAGUCUGCUGUCAAAGACCGAAGCUUAACUUCGGGCAGGCGGUGGAAACUGAAGAGCUAGAGUAAAGCAGGGGUAGAGGGAAUUCCCAGUGUAGCGGUGAAAUGCGUAGAGAUUGGGAAGAACACCAGUGGCGAAGGCGCUCUACUGGGCUAAAACUGACACUGAGAGACGAAAGCUAGGGUAGCG